ACACAAACCAUUACUGUCACACGAAGCUAGGAAUUUCAAGGUGUCCUAGAUGAAGGUGAUUGCUCGAGUUAUUUUGGAAAGCUUCGAGUUAGUGCAGGAUUCUAAGACCUCAAGUUGAAGUUCAUUGAGAAAAGAAAAAUGGCAUUGUGAGAGACAUUAAAAUAAAGAACGUUAGUGCUGAUUGGUGGUCUGGUUUUAUUUUUUUGAAGUCCGAAGAGAAAGAUCUCUUUGAUAUGUAUUGAUGACGUCAUUGGAGUACUCUCUAGCUUACAUGUAUCUUAGUGUUUGAACAGCUCGUGAUUAUUUGUGGGUUAGAGUAUUUUGUAGGAAUUUAUUUUUUUAUCAUUUUAAAUUGAAAAAUUGUACGAUACUUAUGUGAAAUGGAAAUGUUUUAUAUUUGAAAAUCCUUUGAGCAAAAUUACUAGAUGAUUGUUUGAUAUAAGUGAUGCACAUUAUUUAUGGGCUUACCUCCGAUUUACAUAAAGUGUA